UGGGGAAUCUUCCGCAAUGGACGAAAGUCUGACGGAGCAACGCCGCGUGUAUGAUGAAGGUCUUCGGAUUGUAAAGUACUGUCAUUGGGGAAGAACGGUUUUCUUGAAAAGAUUGAGAAGACAUGACGGUACCCAAGGAGGAAGCCCCGGCUAACUACGUGCCAGCAGCCGCGGUAAUACGUAGGGGGCAAGCGUUGUCCGGAAUUAUUGGGCGUAAAGGGCGCGUAGGCGGGCCUUUAAGUCCGGUGUGAAAGAUCAGGGCUCAACCCUGAGAGUGCAUCGGAAACUGGAGGCCUUGAGGACAGGAGAGGAAAGUGGAAUUCCACGUGUAGCGGUGAAAUGCGUAGAUAUGUGGAGGAACACCAGUGGCGAAGGCGACUUUCUGGACUGUAACUGACGCUGAGGCGCGAAAGCGUGGGGAGCAAACAGGAUUAGAUACCCUGGUAGUCCACGCCGUAAACGAUGAGUGCUAGGUGUAGAGGGUAUCGACCCCUUCUGUGCCGCAGUUAACACAAUAAGCACUCCGCCUGGGGAGUACGGCCGCAAGGUUGAAACUUAAAGGAAUUGACGGGGUCAUAGCUGUUUCCU
rnacentral:rRNA from 1 species